rnacentral:tRNA from 1 species
GCCUUCCUGGUGUAAUGGUCAAGCACAUAGUAUUUGAAAGGUCCGUGGUUCGAGUCCCGGCGAAGGCA